rnacentral:rRNA from 1 species
UAAAUCAAGCUUGCUUGAACUAUAAUUUAGUGGCAAACGGGUGAGUAACACGUAGGAAUCUACCCAUCAGUGCGGAAUAACUCCUAGAAAUAGGGGCUAAUACUGCAUAAUCUCUAAGGAGCAAAGAUUUAUCGCUGAUGGAUGAGCCUGCGCCAGAUUAGGUAGUUGGUAGGGUAAUGGCCUACCAAGCCUUUGAUCUGUAGCUGGUCUGAGAGGAUGAUCAGCCACACCGGGACUGAGAUACGGCCCAGACUCC